CAUUCUUUGAUCUGGAGAAUGCGAACCAGGAGUUGAAGAGUGACUUGAAGGAUCUUUACAUUAAUUCAGCAGUGCAAAUCGAUAUGCCUGGCAAUAGGAAAGCUGUUGUUAUUCACAUUCCAUACAGGCUGCGAAAAGCCUACAAAAAGAUUCAUGUUAGGCUGGUUAGAGAACUGGAAAAGAAGUUCAGUGGGAAGGCCAAUUCUAUUGGUGCGAUCGGAGUUGGCAGAAUGUAUACAAGAUCAUAUUUAUGAAUAGGGAGAAAUUGCUGGGUUUGCAAGCUGGGUAUGCAGAAAAAGAACCAGGGAGAAAUUGCUGGGUUUGCAAGUUGGGUUUGCAUGGUUGUGGUCUUAUAAACUUAAUUUUGUGGUUUCAUCUUUUGUGGUUGUCAUGAUUGGAUACUACUUGUGGUCAUGUUUGGAUAGCUUGUAGUAAUUGUAUAGAAUUGUUUAUAAACUUAAGUGAAUGUACACAUG